rnacentral:rRNA from 1 species
UGGGGAAUUUUGGACAAUGGGGGAAACCCUGAUCCAGCCAUCCCGCGUGUGCGAUGAAGGCCUUCGGGUUGUAAAGCACUUUUGGCAGGAAAGAAACGUCAUGGGUUAAUACCCCGUGAAACUGACGGUACCUGCAGAAUAAGCACCGGCUAACUACGUGCCAGCAGCCGCGGUAAUACGUAGGGUGCAAGCGUUAAUCGGAAUUACUGGGCGUAAAGCGUGCGCAGGCGGUUCGGAAAGAAAGAUGUGAAAUCCCGGAGCUCAACUUUGGAACUGCAUUUUUAACUACCGGGCUAGAGUGUGUCAGAGGGAGGUGGAAUUCCGCGUGUAGCAGUGAAAUGCGUAGAUAUGAGGAGGAACACCGAUGGCGAAGGCAGCCUCCUGGGAUAACACUGACGCUCAUGCACGAAAGCGUGGGGAGCAAACAGG